rnacentral:rRNA from 1 species
GUUGAUAGGUCGGGUGUGGAAGCGCUGUGAGGCGUGAAGCUAACCGAUACUAAUUGCUCGUGAGGCUUGACUC